UCUGGCGUACAGGACGAACGCUGGCGGCGUGCUUCAUACAUAGCAAGUCGAACGAUAAGGUCCUUCGGGAAUACAUAAGUGGCGGACGGUGAGUAAUAUGUAGAGAAUCUGCCCUGAAGAGGGGGACGAACAGAGGGAAACUUCUGCUAAUACCCCAUAUGCGCGUAGUUGGGAUACUAUUCGUGAAAGAUUUAUCGCUUCAGGAUGAGUCUGCAUCUGAUUAGCUAGUUGGGGGUGUAAUGGACCACCAAGGCGACGAUCAGUAGCUGGUUUGAGAGGAUGAUCAGCCACAAUGGGACUGAGACACGGCCCAUACUCCUACGGGAGGCAGCAGUAGGGAAUUUUGCGCAAUGGGCGAAAGCCUGACGCAGCAACGCCGCCGUGAUCGCAGACGGCCUUCGGGUUGUAAAGAUCUGUCAGCAGGGACGAACAAUGACUGUACCUGCAGAGGAAGCACCGGCUAACUCCGUGCCAGCAGCGGC
rnacentral:rRNA from 1 species